GAUGAACGCUGGCGGCGUGCCUAAUACAUGCAAGUCGAGCGAACGGACGAGAAGCUUGCUUCUCUGAUGUUAGCGGCGGACGGGUGAGUAACACGUGGAUAACCUACCUAUAAGACUGGGAUAACUUCGGGAAACCGGAGCUAAUACCGGAUGAUAUUUUGAACCGCAUGGUUCAAAAGUGAAAGACGGUCUUGCUGUCACUUAUAGAUGGAUCCGCGCUGCAUUAGCUAGUUGGGAAGGUAACGGCUUAGCAAGGCAACGAUGCAUAGCCGACCUGAGAGGGUGAUCGCCCACACUGGAACUGGGACACGGUCCAGACUCCUACGGGAGGCAGCAGUAGGGAAUCUUCCGCAAUGGGCGAAAGCCUGACGGAGCAACGCCGCGUGAGUGAUGAAGGUCUUCGGAUCGUAAAACUCUGUUAUUAGGGAAGAACAUAUGUGUAAGUAACUGUGCACAUCUUGACGGUACCUAAUCAGAAAGCCACGGCUAACUACGUG
rnacentral:rRNA from 1 species